rnacentral:lncRNA from 1 species
CUCUGCUUGCCCCCUGCACAGGGUGGACAGAGGACUGAAAGGCUGUCCUGCCAACCUUACUAGAGCUGGAAAUAACUUUGUGUUGAUUUGCUUUAGACAAGUACACUGGGAAGACCUCAGGGAGCAGCUGCAGCCUGUGGAUGCUGAAUUCUCAGGCUCUGAGGCCACCCCAGCCUCUCCCUCCAAAAGCUCCCAGAAGCACUUUGGAAAUAAUAGUCUAAGGUCCCCAGGCUGGGAUCAAACCUGUGAUCCUCCUGCCUCAGCCUUCCAGAGCCGAAAGUACAGAUGCAGCCACCUCUGCAAAAGCCCCACCUGUGACCACAAGAGGCUCUGA